rnacentral:lncRNA from 1 species
CGAGCUUCCUGGCUGCUUUGUUUACCUACUCAAGCCUCAGCAAUGGAGGGUGCUCCUCCCUCAGCCUCUCUUCUACCCUGCAGUUCGAUCUCAGACCUCAUUGCUGUGCUAGCAAUGAGGGAGGUUCCGUGGGCAUGGGACCCUCUGAGCCAGGCCCGGGCCUGAAGAGAUUGAUGGUUUCUACUUCCUUUUUCUUGGAACACUCUUGGAAGCCAGCUGCUCUGUAAGAUAUCUUACUACCUUAAGACUACCAUGCUAUGAGAAGCCCAAGGCAUCUGGGGAACCCCUAUAGGAUUAGAUGCCAUGUGGAGAGGGAGAGGCUGAAAAGCACCAACACACCAAAUAUGUGAGUGAAGAAGCCAUCUUCUAUAUUGGGAUCCUCCUGCUGCUCCAGUUGACAACAUGGGGAUAUGAGACAAGCUACCCCACUGAACAGUUUCAUUAUUCCUGACCCACAAGAUUAUGAGCAAAAUAAAAUUGCUGUGUAAGG